UUAUUUCAGCGAGGAUCUUUGUGAGGAGCCCGUGGAGCUUGGCACAGGUGGAGGAGCAGCAGAAUCUUCAGUCUACGCUAGAUUGACUGCUAGAUGGUUGCAUACACCGGUAGUCACUCUGGCCUCUCCUGUUGUGAACAGUUUUCUGAGAACGUUUCUGUGUCUACUAGAAGUCACCUGGUCUCUGUGUUUGUUCGAUCCUAGGGGUUUUGUCGCCUCAUUCGAGAACUCACCAGUGAAUACCUGCGUGCUCGCUCCGCCGAUUCCACUGCCUCCACUCCACCCUUCGAGCUUCCAGCUCUCUUCCAUUCCCACCUCGCAUUUACCUUCGGAACCGCUGCACACCCUCUCUCAGGAACCUGGCAUCUCACACCCACGCCUCGAAAGACCCGCACCGAAGCUUCAAGAGGAUCAGCGUGUGAAGAUCACUUUAUAAUGAUUUGAAAAAGGUUGCCAUGGCUACAGAAAUUGGAGGAGCAUCCUUAGAUGACACAAUACAACCAGCUGUGCGAUUCCUCAUGUCCCAUGAACUGGAAGUCCAGUUCAACCUUUUUGGCCAACAUUGGAAACAAGCUCUUGGACCUGCGUCUCUUUGAUGUUUUGUAUGGGGACUUAAAAGAAAUUAUCCAUCUACAGAAUCACACAAGCAUACAGCAAAGACUCUCGAAGUGGUUUACUGGAGCCCGAGUGGAAGUGGAAAUAGACUAGAGAGACUGCCAGUUCAAACUCAGGUUGGGGAGGUCUUUCAAGAUGGACAGUUUCAGUAAAGUAUGAGAGAUUUCAAAUUUAAGCAUGCAUAUGGCAUGUAGGUUAUUUUUAAAAAUGUUUAACAAAAAUGUAUUGUGAAAGAUCUAUAUAGGUGUGUAUAUUCACAUUGUGUGUAUCAAUGUGAAUAUACGUGUAUAAAGUUAUAUAGAUAGUAUUUAGAUGUAUACAUUUAUAGACCUGUAGGAAAAUAUGUAGGUGUCUUUAUUUGUGUGCAUCUAUAGAUAUAUAUUUAUAGAUCUGUUUAUAAGUUUGUUAUAGUAAACUAGCUUCUGUUAUUUUCAAAG